AUUGAACGCUGGCGGUAGGCCUAACACAUGCAAGUCGAACGGCAGCACAGUCAGCGCUUGCUCUUACAGGUGGCGAGUGGCGGACGGGUGAGGAAUACAUCGGAAUCUACUUUUUCGUGGGGGGUAACGUAGGGAAACUUACGCUAAUACCGCAUACGACCUACGGGUGAAAUCAUGGGAUCUUCGGACCUUGCGCGAUUGAAUGAGCCGAUGUCGGAUUAGCUAGUUGGCGGGGUAAAGGCCCACCAAGGCGACGAUCCGUAGCUGGUCUGAGAGGAUGAUCAGCCACACUGGAACUGAGACACGGUCCAGACUCCUACGGGAGGCAGCAGUGGGGAAUAUUGGACAAUGGGCGCAAGCCUGAUCCAGCCAUACCGCGUGGGUGAAGAAGGCCUUCGGGUUGUAAAGCCCUUUUGUUGGGAAAGAAAAGCAGCAGGUUAAUACCCCGCUGUUCUGACGGUACCCAAAGAAUAAGCACCGGCUAACUUCGUG
rnacentral:rRNA from 1 species